AUUUAAUACCACAACCUAGUGACAUACAUAGAGAAGUAACGAAUCGUGGUUAGAAGAAGCACGUGGUGAAUUUCUCUCGGCUGUUACAGAGAUACUGCUGUAAAGGACGCAGGUUAUUAAUUCUGAAUUUUGAAGAUAUGUCUUUUACAGUGGAUUCAAUGACUUUCUCGUCUUUGUUAAAAAACAGAAUGUCAUCAACAUAAACAAUCUCGUUUAAAAUGACCUGUCUUACCGCAAUUGAAACAUUUCAACGUUGUCUUCGCCUUUGACUUUAGCGCUAGAUUCGACAAACCAGAUUCUUGAUGUGCCUCCUGUCUGCGCUUGAAUUCUUGAAUCAGCUUUUCUUUGACGAGCUCUAAUGUCAAAUCUGCAUCCGAACGGACUUCCAAAGCAGUAAUAAUUGAGUUAUACUCAUCCGGCAAGCUACCAAGCAAAAAUUCUACCUGAAGAUGAUUCGCCAAUGAUUCUCCAAAACCAUUUAAUCUAUCCACAGUAUCCAGCAAGGUGGAUCUAGGAAGGUGAUCUCAUGAGAACAGCUGAAAACAGCCGGUUAGCUUGACGGUACUAAAAUGUCAAAUCUAUAUUUACAUUCUCAGCAAGCAACCCCUUUUUCUCACUCUCUUUGUAUGUAUUUCCCUUUCUCUCAUUGUAUUGUUUACUUUUUUGCCUGUUUACUUUUUUAUGAUAGUUUCGGUGUCAUAAAUUACAAAAUAAAAUAAAGAAAUAAAAAAUUAA